rnacentral:misc_RNA from 1 species
GAUGAAGAACGUAGUGAAAUGCGAUAAGUAGUGUGAAUUGCAGAAUUCAGUGAAUCAUCGAAUCUUUGAACGCACAUUGCGCCCCUUGGUAUUCCAUGGGGCAUGCCUGUUCGAGCGUCAUCUACACCCUCAAGCUCUGCUUGGUGUUGGGCGUCUGUCCCGCCUUUGCGCGUGGACUCGCCCCAAAUUCAUUGGCAGCGGUCCUUGCCUCCUCUCGCGCAGCACAUUUGCGCUUCUCGAGGUGCGCGGGCCGCGUCCACGAAGCAACUAUUACCGUCUUUGACCUCGGAUCAGGUAGGGAUACCCGCUGAACUUAAGCAUAUCGAUAAGCGGAGGA